GAACGCUGGCGGCGUGCCUAAUACAUGCAAGUCGAACGGUCUUUCUAUGGAAGCUUGCUUCCACUGAGAAGAUAGUGGCGAACGGGUGAGUAACACGUGGGUAACCUGCCCAUAAGAGGGGGAGUAACAUCCGGAAACGGGUGCUAAUACCGCAUAGUUUUCUUGAUCGCAUGAUCGGGAAAGGAAAGACGGCCUUUGUGCUGUCGCUUAUGGAUGGACCCGCGGCGUAUUAGUUAGUUGGUGAGGUAACGGCUCACCAAGACGAUGAUACGUAGCCGACCUGAGAGGGUGAUCGGCCACAUUGGGACUGAGACACGGCCCAAACUCCUACGGGAGGCAGCAGUAGGGAAUCUUCCGCAAUGGACGAAAGUCUGACGGAGCAACGCCGCGUGAGUGAAGAAAAGGUUUUCGGAUCGUAAAACUCUGUUGUCAGAGAAGAACAAGUUGGAGAGUAACUGCUCCAGCCUUGACGGUAUCUGACCAGAAAGCCACGGCUAACUACGUGCCAGCAGCGGC
rnacentral:rRNA from 1 species